GCGCUGGUUUAGCUCAGUGGUUACUUCACUGACUUUUCAAUUGCGAAACCCAGUACCUUCCCUCCGCGGGAUCGAACCACGGGCGCUGCCCAGCGUUUUG
rnacentral:vault_RNA from 1 species